UGGUGUAGCAAUACAUUGCUGGGGGAAGUGGCGAAAGGGGCAGUAAGGCGUGGGUAACCUACCCCGGGGACGUGGAUAGCCAUUCUAACGAGUGGGUAAUACGCGGCGAUUCGGCGUGGUGGCAUCAUCGUGCCGGGAAAUGAAUUUCGCCUCGGGAGGGGCUCACGUGAUAUUAGCUAGUUGGCGGGGUAAUGGCCCACUAAGGCUGAGAUGUCUAGCGGGUGUGAGAGCACGACCCGCGCCACUGGCACUGAGACACUGGCCAGACACCUACGGGUGGCUGCAGUCGAGGAUCUUUGGCAAUGGGCGCAAGCCUGACCAAGCGACGCCGCGUGUGCGAUGAAGGCCUUCGGGUUGUAAAGCACUGUCGAGGGGGAUAAAGCCCGCAAGGGUUGAUUGAUCCCUGGAGGAAGCACGGGCUAAGUUCGUGCCAGCAGCCGCGGUAAGACGAACCGUGCGAACGUUGUUCGGAAUCACUGGGCUUAAAGGGCGCGUAGGCGGCUGCUCAAGUCCGGGGUGAAAGCCCCCAGCUUAACUGGGGAAGUGCCUUGGAUACUGAGCGGCUCGAGGGAGAUAGGGGUCGAGGGAACUUCUGGUGGAGCGGUGAAAUGCGUUGAUAUCAGAAGGAACGCCGGUGGCGAAAGCGCUCGACUGGAUCUCUACUGACGCUGAGGCGCGAAAGCCAGGGGAGCAAACGGGAUUAGAUACCCCGGUAGUCCUGGCCCUAAACGAUGAGUACUAGCUUGUGGACUAGUCAUGGGUUCACAGGC
rnacentral:rRNA from 1 species